ensembl:rRNA 5S_rRNA 5S ribosomal RNA
GCCUACGACCAUAUCACCCUGAAUGCGCCUGAUCUCGUCUGAUCUCGGAAGCUAAGCAUGGUCGAGCCUGGUUAUUACUUGGAUGGGAGACUGCCUGGGAAUACCAGGUGUUGUAGGCU